AAGUGGAAUAAAAUACGAAGCCGCAGCAGAAAGCAAAGAAAACGACGCAGUUUAAUUUGGUAUUUAGCGAAGGCAACGAAGAAGAAAACGAUGUUGGCGGAGAGCGAUCACUACAGGGUGGAGUUCAGAGCGUGCAAGGACGACGCGUGGUACACGGCGCGCGUUUCGCUGGAGGGAGAAACUCUGACAGUGAAGUACUUGAACCUCCCUGACGAAUACGACAACGCGUUUCGAGCCUCCGAGUUUGGGGAACGCUUCAGACCCCUCUCCAAACAGGUUCAGGACAGCGAGUGUCGUUCACUCCCGUACCUCUCUUGUUGUCGUUUACUUGCGUCAUUAAAUAAAUAGAUUGGCAACACGCGUAAUUUGGAAGUAUGAACUUGUUUUCUUAUCACCCAAAAGGAAACAUUUUUCUUCUUCUUUUGAUUGUGUAGUGUAGCUUUUAUUAGGAAGUAGGGACCAUCUUGCUAUAGCACUAUAGCAGUCAAAAUCACAUGUCAACAUUUAGGAUCAUAUGAUUUUGUUUACUAGACUUGUACAAUUGAGUCAUAUUCUAAAUGAUUGGCUACAAGUAGGACUGUGUCAAGUAAAUUUGACAUUGUCCCAUUGCCAUGGUAAAUUGUUGGAGUUACAACUCAGAAUGUGGUUAACAAAAUGGCCUCUUGGCCUAUUGAUUUUAUGGAUGGGCUGAGUUGUGACACAAUUUGAAUGGACUGAUGGGUGUCUGGCUUGAAAUGAAAAAUAUGGUCCAUCUAGACCUGGCAACUUGUGUUUUAUGCAUUUAGGUUGAUUGUGUAUUUGAUUUUCUUCUCUGAUCUGUUCAGUUUCUUUUACGAAGAUUUGCUUUGCUCUUUAUUUUUGCUUGAUCUCUGGUCUUUGACAAAGUCGUUGCUCUAAUUCUACUGAUGAAUUUCUUCAUAAUUGAUGUUCUAUGGAACAUUGAUUCUUUUUUUCCUUUGGUCAUUUUACUUCUGCAGUGAUCUAUUGCUAUGGCCAUGAAUUAAGAACAAUAUGACAUUCCUAUUUUUGUUGUAACCUAUCUCUUCCUACUUAUAAUGCCAUAGCUAUUUUUUUUAGUUACAAAUAUUUUCAUGUGAAUCCUUAUGUAUUACUUCUUUUAUGAUAUAAUUCUUAUUGUAGUUGAGCUAUUACUAUCCUCCUUUAAGUUUUAUGGUCAAACGACUCAAAUCCUUGGGAGCCCUUGUUUGAUCCUAUGUAAAAUUGCUUAUCUGACAAACUUGUUUUUUGUUUUUUUCUCUACCCUUAUGCAUGUUCGUACAUUGGCCUAUAUGCUUUACACCCAUAUAUCAUUUUUAUCACCCUUUGCUUUUAUUUAGUGUGGUUGUUCUUUAUAUUAUUUAUGACGUUCUAUAAUAUAAUUCUUCAAACUUUUUCCUCAGAUUUUCAUUUGGUUUUUGUUUUCUUCGUUCAUUUGGUUUGUAGUUAGUUGUCAUGACAUGGAAGAUAGGGUUCUUGAAGUAACAAAAACCAAUGUGUGUAUGAUAUUGAUUGCAAAUAUUGACAGAGUUUUAUGUCCAUCAGCAAUUACAGAGAUCUUACAUAGACAUACUUCAGUAUCAGCUAGUGUCUUCAUUUUUCUGAAUUUGUCAUUGGAGGUAUAUACUUGGGGAGCCAUUGUGUUGGAUUCUGAAAAAGAGUUCCAAGAGCUGUGUGACUUUUUGAAUAAUCCCAACUGCAUCGUAACAUCUUCAACUGGCCAUGGGUGAUACUUGAAAAGCCAGUGGGGCUCAAAAACAUUAAAGCAUCAAUAGGAAGAUUGGUGCAUGUUACAAAGAAUAUAUUACAAAAGGGAAAGAGUGGAACGAGCAACAAUUUGAAGGUUGUACACUCAAGAACUCAAGAAUUCAAGAUAGCUAGUGACAUGAGAGAUUUGUUUUUGGAAUUUUUUAAUCACCAAGAGCGGCUACACAAGAGGCUUGCACUUGAGGAGAGAAGGGUAUGUAGCUGAUGAACAACUUGCUUAAUUGUGCUGAUAUUGUAAUUUGUAAAUAUAACUACUAAAAUAGAAGUCUGUUAGGUAUCAUUCAAACUUGUCCCCAUAGAGCUUAGUAGGAGCUAUGUGCGACAAGAAAUCAUCAAUUUUGGUACAUACUGCAAAAGAGACAAACUCGUUGCUGUUGUUCCAUAUGUGAAGAUGAAAAUUAUAUCUAGGCUUCUUGAUCUUGUCAAAAAUCACUGUAUAUUGAUUACUGAGAUGGUAAUUCACACAUCUAUGCCCUUGAUCAAGAUUGUUGCAUUGUAUUCAACUGGAUCAACAUAAUUGAUAUUGAUAUUAAAUGGUUUCAUAA